GGUCUGAAGCUAAUACCUGCCAUGGUCUAAUUGGUAUUUCAUGAGGAAUCAUGGAUUCCUUGGUAUUUGAAUUAUGUAGAACCAGGCAAGUACUGCAUCUUUCGAUCAUGUGUUCUAUCUGCUUACACAUUCCUGGCCAGAAUAACAUUUCGUGCUCUUAGCUUAGACUUUUCAGCAUGUGCGCAUAUCUUUUCUGUGUGAGGUCAGAUAUGACUAUUUUCUCAUCUUCACUGGUCAAUGAAAGUUUGUCUAAGAAGUCAAUAAUGUAUGUGGGAAAUUGUCUCCUCUUUACAGACCAUCCAUCCAAGAUCAUCUGCCUCGGUAAGGAUCUGUUGCAGCUUUGUGUCACUGACUGUAUUUCUUCAAACUCCUGUUCCGUGUCACAUAGCUUAUGCAAGACUGAAUCAAUGAAGAUGCUGUAACCAUAAAGCAACCAGGACAACACACCUGGAGUGACCGAGAGCAGGAUGAAGAAAGAAUCGGACGAGAAAAUAUCAACUGGUGCCCAUGAGGAGACACAUUGUUCUUGGACCUGCUUUUUCUGUUUAGUAAUAAGUGGUUUUAUGUGGUUACAUAAAAGUAAUUUAAUAUUCAAUCCACAAGCUAAAUUUCCUACAUUUUCUUAAAAAGGUAGUUGACCCAAAAAGGAAAAUUCUGUCAUUUACACAAACAGUUUGGUUACAAACAUUUCUCGCAAUAUCUCCCUUCCUGUUUAUCAGAACAAAGAAAUUUAUGCGGGUUUGUAACAACAUGAGAGAGUGUGUAAAUGAUGACAUAAUUUUCAUUUUUGGGUGAAGUACCCCUUUAACAUUUUUAUACCCAGGGGUAGGGGUGUGCA